UGGGUGGUACAAGACUCAUACCAGGUUGCA
rnacentral:piRNA from 1 species